ACUUGAAGAUUCUUUAGUGUGUUUUAGAGCUAGAAAUAGCAAGUUAAAAUAAGGCUAGUCCGUUAUCAACUUGAAAAAGUGGCACCGAGUCGGUGGUGC
rnacentral:guide_RNA from 1 species